CGCGUAGGCGGUUUCUUAAGUCAGAUGUGAAAGCCCGGGGCUCAACCCCGGAAGUGCAUUUGAAACUAAGUGACUUGAGUAUGGGAGAGGGAAGUGGAAUUCCUGGUGUAGAGGUGAAAUUCGUAGAUAUCAGGAGGAACACCGGUGGCGAAGGCGACUUCCUGGACCAAUACUGACGCUAAGGCGCGAAGGCGUGGGGAGCAAACA
rnacentral:rRNA from 1 species